CCCUAGAGAACUAGUGGUUAGGCCUCGGCACUCUCACAGCCACGGCCAGGGUUCGAUUCCCAGCCACUGGGGU